rnacentral:rRNA from 1 species
UGGGGAAUAUUGCACAAUGGGCGCAAGCCUGAUGCAGCCAUGCCGCGUGUAUGAAGAAGGCCUUCGGGUUGUAAAGUACUUUCAGCGGGGAGGAAGGCGAUGCGGUUAAUAACCGCGUCGAUUGACGUUACCCGCAGAAGAAGCACCGGCUAACUCCGUGCCAGCAGCCGCGGUAAUACGGAGGGUGCAAGAGUUAAUCGGAAUUACUGGGCGUAAAGCGCACGCAGGCGGUCUGUCAAGUCGGAUGUGAAAUCCCCGGGCUCAACCUGGGAACUGCAUCCGAAACUGGCAGGCUUGAGUCUCGUAGAGGGGGGUAGAAUUCCAGGUGUAGCGGUGAAAUGCGUAGAGAUCUGGAGGAAUACCGGUGGCGAAGGCGGCCCCCUGGACGAAGACUGACGCUCAGGUGCGAAAGCGUGGGGAGCAAACA